UAAUACAUGCAAGUCGAGCGGACAGAUGGGAACUUGCUCCCUGAUGAUAGCGGCGGACGGGNGAGUAACACGUGGGUAACCUGCCUGUAAGACUGGGAUAACUCCGGGAAACCGGGGCUAAUACCGGAUGCUUGUUUGAACCGCAUGGUUCAACAUAAAAGGUGGCUUCGGCUACCACUUACACAUGGACCCGCGGCGCAUUAGCUAGUUGGUGAGGUAACGGCUCACCAAGGCAACGAUGCGUAGCCGACCUGAGAGGGUGAUCGGCCACACUGGGACUGAGACACG
rnacentral:rRNA from 1 species